rnacentral:rRNA from 1 species
GAUGAACGCUAGCUACAGGCUUAACACAUGCAAGUCGAGGGGAAACGGCAUUGAGUGCUUGCACUCUUUGGACGUCGACCGGCGCACGGGUGAGUAACGCGUAUCCAACCUUCCCAUUACUGUGGGAUAACCUGCCGAAAGGCAGACUAAUACCGCAUAGUCUUCGAUGACGGCAUCAGAUUUGAAGUAAAGAUUUAUCGGUAAUGGAUGGGGAUGCGUCUGAUUAGCUUGUUGGUGGGGUAACGGCUCACCAAGGCGACGAUACAUAGCCGACCUGAGAGGGUGAUCGGCCACACUGGGACUGAGACACGGCCCAAACUCCUACGGGAGGCAGCAGUAGGGAAUCUUCCGCAAUGGGCGAAAGCCUGACGGAGCAACGCCGCGUGAGUGAAGAAGGAUUUCGGUUCGUAAAGCUCUGUUGUUAGGGAAGAAUGAUUGUGUAGUAACUAUACACAGUAGAGACGGUACCUAACCAGAAAGCCACGGCUAACUACGUGCCAGCAGCCGCGGUAAUACGUAGGUGGCAAGCGUUGUCCGGAAUUAUUGGGCGUAAAGCGCGCGCAGGUGGUUUAAUAAGUCUGAUGUGAAAGCCCACGGCUCAACCGUGGAGGGUCAUUGGAAACUGUUAAACUUGAGUGCAGGAGAGAAAAGUGGAAUUCCUAGUGUAGCGGUGAAAUGCGUAGAGAUUAGGAGGAACACCAGUGGCGAAGGCGGCUUUUUGGCCUGUAACUGACACUGAGGCGCGAAAGCGUGGGGAGCAAACAGG